UACGGGGGGGGCAAGCGUUGUUCGGAAUUACUGGACGUAAAGGGCUCGUAGGCGGCCAACUAAGUCGGAUGUGAAAUCCCCAGGCUUAACCUGGGAACUGCAUCCGAUACUGGAUGGCUUGAAUCCGGGAGAGGGAUGCAGAAUUCCAGGUGUAGCGGUGAAAUGCGUAGAUAUCUGGAGGAAUACCGGUGGCGAAGGCGGCAUCCUGGACCGACACUGACACUGAGGAGCGAAAGCCAGGGGAGCAAACGGG
rnacentral:rRNA from 1 species